rnacentral:rRNA from 1 species
AUACGUAGGGUGCGAGCGUUGUCCGGAAUUACUGGGCGUAAAGAGCUCGUAGGUGGUUUGUCGCGUCAUCUGUGAAAUUCCGGGGCUUAACUCCGGGCGUGCAGGCGAUACGGGCAUAACUUGAGUACUGUAGGGGAGACUGGAAUUCCUGGUGUAGCGGUGAAAUGCGCAGAUAUCAGGAGGAACACCGGUGGCGAAGGCGGGUCUCUGGGCAGUAACUGACGCUGAGGAGCGAAAGCAUGGGUAGCGAACAGGAUUAGAUACCCUGGUAGUCCAUGCCGUAAAGGGUGGGCGCUAGGUGUAGGGGUCUUCCACGACUUCUGUGCCGUAGCUAACGCAUUAAGCGCCCCGCCUGGGGAGUACGGCCGCAAGGCUAAAACUCAAAUGAAUUGACGGGG